CAGUAGCCACGGUAAUACGAGGGGGGCAAGCGUUGUUCGGAAUUAUUGGGCGUAAAGGGUGCGUAGGCGGUUUGGCAAGUUUGGUGUGAAACCUUCGGGCUCAACUCGAAGUCUGCAUCGAAAACUGCCGGGCUUGAGUAUGGGAGAGGUGAGUGGAAUUUCCGGUGUAGCGGUGAAAUGCGUAGAUAUCGGAAGGAACACCUGUGGCGAAAGCGGCUCACUGGACCAUAACUGACGCUGAUGCACGAAAGCUAGGGGAGCAAACAGGAUUAGAUACCCCUGUAGUCCCUGUCUCUUAUAC
rnacentral:rRNA from 1 species